rnacentral:rRNA from 1 species
AUUGAACGCUGGCGGCAGGCCUAACACAUGCAAGUCGAGCGAGCGGCGGACGGGUGAGUAAUGUAUGGGGACUGCCCGUUAGAGGGGGAUAACUACUGGAAACGGUAGCUAAUACCGCAUACUAUCGGAUAACCCAUAUGGGAUUAGCUAGUAGGUGAGGUAAUGGCUCACCUAGGCGACGAUCCCUAGCUGGUCUGAGAGGAGGAUCAGCGACACUGGGACUGAGACACGGCCCAGACUCCUACGGAGGCAGCAGUGGGGAAUAUGGGACAAUGGGCGAAAGCCUGAUACAGCCACGCCGCGUGUGUGAAGAAGGCCCUAGGAUUGUAAAGUACUUUCAGUAGGGAGGCGUUACCGACAGAAGAAGCAACGGCUAACUCCGUGACAGCAGCCGCGGUAAUAC